UGGUAACCUAUUUUUUCCACGUGGGAUACUCAUCACCUCGCUCCAACUCUCUACAAAACUUACUCCAACGCUCUCACCCUGGCAUCUCCCCUCCCUCUCUCUGGUCUCUUAUCCAAUCAAACGAUCUUCCUUCCUUCUCCUUUCUGCCCUAACUUCGGAAGCGAAGACAGCACCGCUUCCAGAGAUCUGGAGAAAUGAAGCAUCAUUCGAAUUCUCCCGACAAAACUUUAGUGGACCAUCGCUGAAUUCGACAUAACUUUAGUGGACCAUCGCCGAGCGAUGGAAAGUGUUAUCCGCCGGACAACCUUCAACCUCCGUUUUAGAGAGAUCGUCAAAUUUUCCCAUUCGGAUGUGUUCAGGGCUCGCAAAUUUCACUCUCCCGCCAGAGCGUUGCCGGACGGCGCAGUUACUCGAUUAUACGUCUUUCACCGCUUAAAGACUUCCAAGGUCUUGUUUCGUCGUCGAAGACACUGAAAGGUUGUGGUCCUCAUUGGCAAUUUUUAGGGUCACAUGGCUCAUUGACUGAGAGACUAAUCAUUGGAUUACUUCUCUGGUACUAGUGUGGUUCUCAACUUAGCUGAGACACCUUCAAGCCUCUUUGAGUAUUAUAGAUGCGACUACCGUGCCUAUAUUUGGUAGGCACUACUCUGCUGGUGAUGUAGUAACUGAGAUAUUGGUGAAGAAGAUGCGAGGUGCUAGAGAGGCGUUUGCAGCGACUGAUUUGCAACACAAGUUAAAAAGACAGCAUACUGGCUGGAAGAAUGUGUUUGUUACACAUUGGCGGAUGCAACUUAGUCAUCUAAAAAACUAUGGUGCAGGUAUGUACUUUGAACUGAUCUGGUGGUUAUCUUGUAAGGAUAGUAUAAGCAUUCUUUGAUAGCCAAACACGAGUGUUCAGCAUCAUACUAUUAUUUAGCUACCAGGCUCAGUUUCGUCAAUUGUAAGACAUAAGAGGCUGAGGGCGUGCACUGUGUUUCACAUUCAUGUGUGCACGUACAAGAAUGCAUGCGUAUGAUUGACCAAAUGAUGAGAUCAGUGAGGGAAAAAGGAUGAGAUCAGAGAGGGAAAAAGGAAAAUUCAAUGAUAGAUGGAAAUCAAAUGAGGGGGAGAUGGGGCGGGUAGCUGGAUAGAUACAUUUUAAAGGAUUCAAAGAUAAUAAACACCUGUUAAAGGAUGUGGUUAAGGUGGUGUGCAUUCAGUCUCAUGCGACAGUGUGGUUAAGAUUACUACUACUCAUUAUUGUUUGGCGGCUUGCUUGUCUGAAAUGAGCAUGAGAUAAGCGUUGUGUAAUUUAAUUUUUUAGAUAAAUUUAUAAGCUGUUCAUACGAGAGUGUGUGCGCCUUUUGUUUAUAAUGCACUCAUUGGUUUAUUAGUGAAUGGUUCCAACAACCGCAGCACAUCGGGUAUGUUAGAAUGAAUGUAUGGUUUGGCAACAUCUUUCUGAGGUUUCCAGAACUCUUUUAUGCAAACAAAUUCACCAUUUUCUAGAUGUUGCCAGGAAUUCUUGCUAUAGCAAUAAUCACUUUUUAGGUAACUUUAUUUUGCGUUGCCUGUCACUAGACCUGUAUAUGAUGCCUGUUUACUUUGUGAUGGUGUUCAC